GGGAUGUUGCUAUGGGGUGGGGGCACGGCUAUGGGGUGAGGAUGUUGCUAUGGGGUGGAUGGACACGGCUAUGGGGUGGGGAUGUUGCUAUGGGGUGGGGACACUGCUAUGGGGUGGAUGGACACUGUUAUAGGGUGGAUGCCCCCUUUUUGGGGCAGACUUAUGGGGUCACCUCAAUGGGGUCACCUCAAUGGGGUCACCGCAAUGGGGACAACUUUAUGGGGUCACCUCAGUGGGGUCACCUCAAUGGGGUCACCGCAAUGGGGACGUCGUUAUGGGAUCACCUCAGUGGGGUCACCGCAAUGGGGACAACUUUAUGGGGUCACUGCAAUGGGGACAUCGUUAUGGGGUCACCCCAAUGGGGUCACCUCAAUGGGGUCACCUCAAUGGGGUCACCGCAAUGGGGACGUCUUUAUGGGGUCACCACAAUAGGGACAUCUUUAUGGGGUCACCACAAUGGGGUUGCCUCAAUGGGGUCACCUCUGUGGGGUCACCUCAAUGGGGUCACCGCAAUGGGGACGUCUUUAUGGGGUCACCACAAUGGGGACAUCGUUAUGGGGUCACCCCAAUGGGGUCACCUCAGUGGGGCCACCUCAAUGGGGACGUCUUUAUGGGGCCAUCUUUAUGGGGUCACCUCAAUGGGGUCACCUCAAUGGGGUCACUUCAGUGGGGUGACCUCAAUGGGGUCACCACAAUAGGGUCACCUCAAUGGGGUCACUGCAAUGGGGUCGCCGCAAUGGGGACAUCGUUAUGGGGACGCCCCAAUGGGGUCACCUCAGUGGGAUCACCUCAAUGGAGUCCCCUUUAUGGGGUCACCACAAUGGGAUUCCCUUCUACAGGGUCCCCUUUAUGGGGUCCCUUCUAUGGGAUCCCCUUUAUGGGGUCACCACAAUGGGGUCCCCUUCUACGGGGUCCCCUUUAUGGGGUCACCAUAUUGGGGUUCCCCUCAAUGGGGUCCCCUUUUUGGGGUCCCUUCUAUGGAGUCACCUCAAUGGGGUCCCCUUUAUGGGGUCAUCAUAAUGGGGUACCUUCUAUGGGGUCCCCUUUUUGGGGUCACCAUAAUGGGGUCACUACAAUGGGGUCCCCUCUAUGGGGUCACCAUAAUGGGGUCCCCUUUAUGGGAUCACUGUAAUGGGGUCACUACAAUGGGGUCACUACAAUGGGGUCCUCUCUAUGGGGUCCCCUUUAUGGGGUCACUACGAUGGGGUCACCUCAAUGGGGUCCCCUUUUUGGGGUCCCCUCUAUGGGGUCACCUCAAUGGGGUCCUCUCUAUGGGGUCACCACAAUGGGGUCACUACAAUUGGGGUCACCACAAUGGGGUUUCCUUUAUGGGGUCCUCUCAGUGGGGUCUGCUUUAUGGGGUCACCACAAUGGGGUCCCCAUUAUGGGGUCACCAUAUUGGGGUCACCUCAAUAGGGUCCCCUUUAUGGGAUCACCUCAAUGGGGUCACUACAAUGGGGUCCCCUUUAUGGGGUCCCUUCAAUGGGGUCAUCACAAUGGGGUCACCUCAAUGGGAUCACCUCAAUGGGGUCACCAUAAUGGGGUCCCCUUAUGGGUACUUUCUAUGGGGUCACCUCAAUGGGGUCACCUCAAUGGGGUCCCCUUUUUGGGGUCCCUUCAAUGGGGUCACUACAAUGGGGUCCUCUCUAUGGGGUCACCUCAAUGGGGUCCUCUCUAUGGGGUCACCACAAUGGGGUCACUACAAUUGGGG
ensembl:lncRNA